CACUGGCUUAGAUGGCAAAGAUUGGC
rnacentral:piRNA from 1 species